rnacentral:rRNA from 1 species
UACGGAGGGGGCAAGCGUUGUUCGGAGUUACUGGGCGUAAAGCGCGCGUAGGCGGUGCGGUAAGUCAGGGGUUAAAGGCUGCAGCUCAACUGCAGUAAGGCCUUUGAUACUAUCGCGCUAGAGUACCAGAGAGGAUGGCGGAAUUCCCGGUGUAGCGGUGAAAUGCAUAGAUAUCGGGAGGAACACCAGUAGCGAAGGCGGCCAUCUGGCUGGUAACUGACGCUGAGGUGCGAGAGCGUGGGGAGCAAACAGG